rnacentral:rRNA from 1 species
UACGAAGGGUGCAAACGUUGCUCGGAAUUAUUGGGCGUAAGCGCACGUAGGCGGCUUAGCAAGUCGGAUGUGAAAUCCCUCGGCUCAACCAAGGAAGUGCAUCCGAAACUGCUGAGCUUGAGUACGAAAGAGGAUCGCGGAAUUCCCGGUGUAGAGGUGAAUUCGUAGAUAUCGGGAGGAACACCAGUGGCGAAGGCGGCGAUCUGGGUCGAUACUGACGCUGAGGUGCGAAAGCGUGGGAGCAAACAGG